rnacentral:rRNA from 1 species
GACGAACGCUGGCGGCGUGCCUAAUACAUGCAAGUAGAACGCUGAAGGAGGAGCUUGCUUCUCCGGAUGAGUUGCGCACGGGUGAGUAACGCGUAGGUAACCUGCCUGGUAGCGGGGGAUAACUAUUGGAAACGAUAGCUAAUACCGCAUAAGAGUAGAUGUCGCAUGACAUUUGCUUAAAAGGUGCAACUGCACCACUACCAGAUGGACCUGCGUUGUAUUAGCUAGUUGGUGAGGUAACGGCUCACCAACGCAACGAUACAUAGCCGACCUGAGAGGGGGGUCGGCCAAACUGGGACCGGGACAAGGCCCAGAAUCCUACGGGAGGCAGCCGGAGGGAAUCUUCGGGAAUGGACGGAAGUCUGACCGAGCAACGCCGCGUGAGUGAAGAAGGUUCUCGGAUCGUAAAGCUCUGUUGUAAGAGAAGAACGAGUGUGAGAGUGGAAAGUUCACACUGUGACGGUAUCUUACCAGAAAGGGACGGCUAACUACGUG